GCUAGGAUGGCAGAGCCUGGUUACUGCAAAAGGCCUAAGCCCUUUGAACAGAGGUUCAAAUCCUCUCCCUAGCU
rnacentral:tRNA from 1 species